rnacentral:rRNA from 1 species
UACGUAGGGUGCGAGCGUUGUCCGGAAUUACUGGGCGUAAAGAGCUCGUAGGUGGUUUGUCGCGUUGUUCGUGAAAACUCACAACUCAAUUGUGGGCGUGCGGGCGAUACGGGCAGACUGGAGUACUGCAGGGGAGACUGGAAUUCCUGGUGUAGCGGUGGAAUGCGCAGAUAUCAGGAGGAACACCGGUGGCGAAGGCGGGUCUCUGGACCGAUGACUGACACUGACGGAGCGAAAGCGUGGGGAGCGAACAGG